rnacentral:rRNA from 1 species
CGGGGAAUAUUGCACAAUGGGCGCAAGCCUGAUGCAGCCAUGCCGCGUGUGUGAAGAAGGCCUUCGGGUUGUAAAGCACUUUCAGCGGGGAGGAAGGCGUUAAGGUUAAUAACCUUGGCGAUUGACGUUACCCGCAGAAGAAGCACCGGCUAACUCCGUGCCAGCAGCCGCGGUAAUACGGAGGGUGCAAGCGUUAAUCGGAAUUACUGGGCGUAAAGCGCACGCAGGCGGUCUGUCAAGUCGGAUGUGAAAUCCCCGGGCUCAACCUGGGAACUGCAUUCGAAACUGGCAGGCUAGAGUCUUGUAGAGGGGGGUAGAAUUCCAGGUGUAGCGGUGAAAUGCGUAGAGAUCUGGAGGAAUACCGGUGGCGAAGGCGGCCCCCUGGACAAAGACUGACGCUCAGGUGCGAAAGCGUGGGGAGCAAACAGG